GAGACCUUCCUGUCUCUGCCCCCAAGAGUGCUGGACCUACCUACCUACCUGGUUGAAUUAUACUUUGGGUGAGUUUUAUGGCAAGUGACCUGUAUCUCAGUAGAGCUGCUAUUUUCAAACACGAAGUUUAGAGGCAGCAACCUCCCUUCUCUCUGCUUAUAUAUGUGGUACUGGGAUUGAACCUCUGAUGGUCCAAGCCAUAAAGCAUCAGACCAGCACAUGAGGUUAAGGGCAAAGGAAGUCAAAUGUCUGUAGCCAACUUACUAGGACACAGAGGCAGACUUCUGAGCCCAGUCCCCAUUACUCUCUCUUGCUAGAUGAUGAAAAGAGCAGAGGAUACCAUGACAAAACCUGAUAUUGAGAUAAAAACCAGUGCUCAGCUACACAGAAUCCCAGUGUUUGGCAAGGUUGGGGCAAGAGGAUUAGGAGGCCCGGCCCAGCCCAGCCACAUAGGAAGCUCCACGUCAGCCUCCUUUACGGCAUCUGGGAUGCAGAGAGCACCAGUCCUCCCAGCACUCCGCGCUGUCCUGGAAAUGGAAAGUGAGCUGACUGUUAAGCCAAGUCCUGAAGAGAGAGACCUGAGAGCCCUCAGGAGUCUGAGGCCAGCAAAGACAGGAUCCUUUCCUGACAAUCACUGACCCGUCCACGAGGGGCUCGUCUAAUA
rnacentral:sRNA from 1 species